rnacentral:rRNA from 1 species
AACGAACGCUGGCGGCAUGCCUAACACAUGCAAGUCGAACGAGACCUUCGGGUUUAGUGGCGCACGGGUGCGUAACGCGUGGGAACCUGCCCUUAGGUUCGGAAUAACUCCCCGAAAGGGGUGCUAAUACCGGAUAAUGUCUUCGGACCAAAGAUUUAUCGCCUUUGGAUGGGCCCGCGUUGGAUUAGCUAGUUGGUAGGGUAAAAGCCUACCAAGGCGACGAUCCAUAGCUGGUCUGAGAGGAUGAUCAGCCACACUGGGACUGAGACACGGCCCAGACUCCUACGGGAGGCAGCAGAGGGGAAUAUUGGACAAUGGGCGAAAGCCUGAUCCAGCAAUGCCGCGUGAGUGAUGAAGGCCUUAGGGUUGUAAAGCUCUUUUACCCGGGAUGAUAAUGACAGUACCGGGAGAAUAAGCUCCGGCUAACUCCGUG